AAGCAUAAUGACUUUUAGUCCAGAGAGAUCCGCACGUAAUCAAGACUAGAUAAAUGUCAUUUGCUCAUAAUAAGUCUUUAUUAGGCGUUUACAAGUCUUGCGAAAUAUGGAAAUAUUUCUGGUAGGAUAAAGGCACAUAUGAUUCAAUAUUCUUUUGAAAGAUUCCUAGCUUAAUUAUCACUGUUUAAAAGUAGGCUUUAUUAUAUUAAUGACUAUCCUGUAAAGACUAUUGAGCAUGGUGAUGUCAGAUGUGAUUGUUUUUCAUGUUGAUCAUGACUAAACCUCUUAAUAGGGCUUGUGUGGAAGGUUCCCGGUUACUCAUAGAGUCAAAAGACAUUUUCAAGAGUUUUAUUCUUCUGUUCUCAAAGCUGCCUCACUUCCUCACUACGGGGCAGUAUAAGGGAGUCUCGUUGUUGAUGCAUCUUAUAGGUUGGUAUGCAACUGCCACGUUCAUACUUCAAUUUGAUAUUUUGUCAGUGCAAUAAUGACUCACUGGUUUAAGUCAUGCUGAGAAAACCAAGACAAGAAGAUUGAUUCUGCACUAUCUUUCCUUUGUUGGUGGCUGAGAUCAGGAAAGCACACUUCCUUGUCAAAAUUGAAACUAAGAAAAAACCAAAGACUUGCACUCUGGCAGUCCAUGGAGUUUUCAGGUUCCAGACUAAGUCUAACACAACACACAUUAAAAGAAUGUGAUUGUGGUCCAUGAAGUACUCCUCAAUUUAUUUUGUGGAACAACUCUUUUGUUACUCCAAGUUGGGCUUCUUCCAAGUUUUGAAGGCCAAGAUAUGCUGCAUGUCACAUUAGCACUUUGACAAUUCAGAUAUUGUCAAGUUCCUCCCAAUUAUUGGCUUUUCGGUUUUCUGUUUGGUAUAUAUAUUUUCUUAUUAUUUGAAGUACGUAGAUAAGUUAUCUAAGUUCUUUCAAGAGCAAGCCUACGCUGCCAAUUUGUAAUGCAACUGGCUCGGAUACUGAAGUGAUUGUUAAGCUACUUGUUUCGAAACAAGAUCAAACUGAAAAAAUUUUGAGAUAAAGUGCUAUAAACUGUGUAAAAAUAAUUGAUGAAGCAUCUCUUGCAUAUUACAAUGAAACAAGACCAAACUUGAU